rnacentral:rRNA from 1 species
UACGGAGGGAGCUAGCGUUGUUCGGAAUUACUGGGCGUAAAGCGCACGUAGGCGGCUAUUCAAGUCAGAGGUGAAAGCCCGGGGCUCAACCCCGGAACUGCCUUUGAAACUAGGUAGCUAGAAUCUUGGAGAGGUCAGUGGAAUUCCGAGUGUAGAGGUGAAAUUCGUAGAUAUCAGGAAGAACACCCGUGGCGAAGGCGGCUCUCUGGGACGGUACUGACGCUGAGACGCGAAAGCGUGGGGAGCGAACAGG